ensembl:lncRNA
GUCUUUUUGUGGUCUUCUGUAUCUCUUUUUUUUCCUGAAAAAGGCUUUGCCAGAGUGCAGGACGGGGGCAUGCUGCUUGCAGGGAAGACUUCCAUACAGGAGCUUUGCCGUGGGUUAUAGAGGCAUUCCAGAGCUUGAGCAGAAUUCUGCAGACCUGAAAGAGAUGCCCUGGUUCAGAGCUGUAGAAGGAUUCAGCGAUGCCAAAAAGCCGUCUGAAUCAAAAAGAGAUGAUGAUCCUGAUGAAGAAGUUUUGCCUAGAGUGAUUGAAAAACCUAUCCUGCCAAAAAUUACAGUAUUUGCCAAGAAUGUGUGGGAUCCUUUAUCGACUUCACAGACUGAGAGCCUUACACAGCUUUGCGAUAACGUGUUUGAAAAACAGGUCCUGUCCAGAAGGGAAUGCAGUCAGGCAAAACAGGUAAAGGCUGUUGUGGUAAUGGGGAAGGAAGUUCUUGAUACAGUGUAUGCACUUCACUGUAAAUAUUCACUGUAACAUACACUUAGCCCAGUUCUGGUUUUAUUCUCAUGCGAAUCUGGGAGUUUAUCCAGCAUAAAGUAGGUGAAACUAAGUUGAUGUUUAGGCCCUUAGUAUGAAAAGAAAUAAUAACAAACAUUUAUGCAGUCGCCACACUUGACUUCAGGAAGAAGCUUUAGAUAAGGUUCUGUUUGUAUAGUAGCUGUGGUGUUUUGU